UGACCUCGAAUUAGGUAGGAAUACCCGCUGAACUUAAGCAUAUCAAUAAGCGGAGGAAAAGAAACCAACCGGGAUUGCCUCAGUAACGGCGAGUGAAGCGGCAACAGCUCAAAUUUGAAAUCUGGCCCUUCCGGGUCCGAGUUGUACUUUGCAGAGGAUGCUUCUGGCAAGGCACCGCCCAAGUCCCCUGGAACGGGGCGCCGGAGAGGGUGAGAGCCCCGUACGGUCGGCUGCCGAGCCUGCGUGAAGCUCCUUCGACGAGUCGAGUAGUUUGGGAAUGCUGCUCUAAGUGGGAGGUAGACCCCUUCUAAAGCUAAAUACCGGCCAGAGACCGAUAGCGCACAAGUAGAGUGAUCGAAAGAUGAAAAGCACUUUGAAAAGAGGGUUAAACAGCACGUGAAAUUGUUGAGAGGGAAGCGCUUGCGAUCAGACGUGCGCCGGGGUGCUCCGUGGGCGUUCUCGCCCGCGUACUCGCCCCGGCGCAGGCCAGCGUCGGUUCGGACGGGGGGAUAAAGGCGCCUGGGACGUGGCUCCCUCGGGAGU
rnacentral:rRNA from 1 species